CGGUUUGGCGCAGAGGGCUCCUGCUCCCUCCAGCCGCAUCUCCUGCCCUCGGGGUGCUGGGUGCUGCUGCCGGCAGCCCUGGGACACCCUGCGCAUGGGGACGCUGCUCUGCGGCAGGAUGAGGUCCCAGCAGCACAGCCUGUGCCUGUCCAGGGCCGGGAUCCACAGCUGCUCCCACCACGGCAGAGGGGAUGCUCGGGUGGGAAACGCUGUGUUUGGAGCCUCUGAGCUGUGAUAACGUCACAAGUAGUCAUCCGCACUGAGCCCGCCUCACGGGUGAGUGCCGCUGGCCAGAGCAGCUUUGUCGCAGGCGUUACUGGAACUCGAACCCCGUGGUGACGGGGGAUGCGAUAUCCGAUGGACCGGGGCCGGGUGAGGCGUUCUGCGGUGGAAAAAGCCAGCACGUAAUAGAGCCGUAAAAACGUUGUU